UUGCUCCCGCGAUGUAGAGAGUGUCGACCACUGUUUUGGCCGAGUGUGAUUUCUCGAUCGACUGGGAGAUGACGCCCAAGGGCGUGUUGCUGUUGCCGUUGUCUAAUCCGCCUCUGUCUCCGCCGCUACGGGAGGGCAACGCAUGACCAGGCGAAGCGCCUUCGCCGCCUUCUCCUACGUGGCCUGCGCGCCGUGCUUCUGGUUCCAUUCAUCAAAGCUGCUCUAUCCUCGUAUGGUUUCCCCUGUGCUAAUGUUAUUACUCUUUUGAGAAUGUCUUUAGAGAUUAUUUUAGCAUCUUCAUGGUAAAGAGCCCGCUUGUGGAUACAGCUUGGUCUAAGAAAGUUAUUAAGCUAUAAGGAUAUGAUCUUGGACAGAGAUGGGGCCCUUGACAUGGGACUUAAUGGGGGAUUGUUAAGUUUCUGAAAAAGGUUUAAGGUUCUCAAUAAGCAGCUCGGGUGAAGAUCUAACCAGGUUCUCAAAAAGCAGCGAGUGCAAUUAAAUUGUUAUUGGUGUAGAUCUAACGAGGUUCGCAGCAAAGCAGCUCGGAUGCAAUUAACUGUUCUUGGUGAAGAUCCAACAAGGUUCUCAACGAAGCAGCUCGGAUGCAAUUAAUUGUUAUUGGUGAAGAUCUAAUUAGGUUCUCAACAAAGCAGCUCAGGUGCAUUUCACUGUUCUUGGUGAAGAUCUAACGGGGUUCUCAACAAAGCAGCUCGGGUGCAAUUAACUGUUCUUGGUGAAGAUCUAUUGAGGUUCUCAACAAAGUAGCUCGGGUGCAAUUACCUGUUCUUGGUGAAGAUCUAAGGAGGAUCUCGACAAAGCAGCUCGGAUGCAAUUAAUCGUUCUUGUUAAAGAUCUAACGAGGCUCAGGUGCAAUUAACUGUUCUUGGAUAGGUGUAAAUUCUUUGUUUAUAUGAUCAGUGCCUUCUGAAACAAUUGAUAUUUAUGUAUGAGAAACAGUACAUUAGCAAAAUAUUGGCCUUCUGCUGACCGUAAAAAUAAAUCGAUGAUAUUGAGAC